ACCGAGUACAACUCUCACCCUAAGCACUAAAACUACUCAGUUAAAACUUAAUGAACAUGGCGGCCUUUUAUAUUCAGGGGAAUUUACCGCGUGAUCGAUAGCCCACGAGUUAACUAACUUUCUUUUAAAAGCUUAUAUACCGCCGUCUAGCCGCUACUUUAGGCAGCGGCUAUAGGUACUUUAAAGUAACAGGACAGGUUAUGGUGUAGCCAAUAUGGAAGACGCAGGCGAGUUACAAUAUUUUUUUCUUUCGGAUUACUAUUUUUGAGAAUAAUCAAAAGAUGGACUUGAAAGUAAUUUUUAAUAGCACUUUAGAGUGAACAAUAACUACGAGGUGU
rnacentral:rRNA from 2 species